AGUGAACGCUGGCGGUAGGCCUAACACAUGCAAGUCGAACGGCAGCACAGUAAGAGCUUGCUCUUACGGGUGGCGAGUGGCGGACGGGUGAGGAAUACAUCGGAAUCUACUUUUUCGUGGGGGAUAACGUAGGGAAACUUACGCUAAUACCGCAUACGACCUACGGGUGAAAGCAGGGGAUCUUCGGACCUUGCGCGAUUGAAUGAGCCGAUGUCGGAUUAGCUAGUUGGCGGGGUAAAGGCCCACCAAGGCGACGAUCCGUAGCUGGUCUGAGAGGAUGAUCAGCCACACUGGAACUGAGACACGGUCCAGACUCCUACGGGAGGCAGCAGUCGGGAAUAUUGGACAAUGGGCGAAAGCCUGAUCCAGCCAUACCGCGUGAGUGAAGAAGGCCUUCGGGUUGUAAAGCCCUGUUGUUGGGAAAGAAAAGCAGCAGGUUAACACCCCGCUGUUCUGACGGUACCCAAAGAAUAAGCACCGGCUAACUUCGUG
rnacentral:rRNA from 1 species